rnacentral:rRNA from 1 species
UACGUAGGGGGCAAGCGUUAUCCGGAAUUACUGGGUGUAAAGGGAGCGUAGACGGUUAAGUAAGUCUGGAGUGAAAGGCCGGGGCCCAACCCCGGGACUGCUCUGGAAACUAUUGAACUUGAGUGCAGUAGAGGUAGGCGGAAUUCGUGGUGUAGCGGUGAAAUGCUUAGAUAUCACGAAGAACUCCGAUUGCGAAGGCAGCUUACUGGACUGUAACUGACGCUGAUGCUCGAAAGUGUGGGUAUCGAACAGG